GAGAAACCAGGGUCACGGUGAAUCCUGAGAAAAUACUGAAUACUCAGGUCACUGCCAGCCCUGAGCUGACAGAAAGCGAUCUGAUGGUGUGGCUCAAGCUCAGCUCUCGUGGAAGGAUGUGAAUCCCACUGGGGUCACAUCUACACAAUCUAUGACACAACAUAUCUGUUGUUGUGGAUUCUCCAUGAAUUAAGAGCCAGAUAUUCUGCUGAAGGAUGUUCUACUUCAAUCAGAGGCCACAAGCGUUGUUGACUCAAAUGACUAGGAGAAAAUGAAACCCUGCUGUCACUCAGCCAAGACAAUGGUGAACAUGCCUCACUGCUACUACCAAGACAUCAAGGCAGCAACACAUCUGUUUGUGGAAGACUGCUGUGUUUUAAAGUCCAAAGAAAAAGCCAGUGUCCAGGUCAGUUGGCUUCCUCCAUCGUCAGCCUUCCCACGGAGAGCCCAUGUAGCCCCAGGGCGACAACAGCACGAUGUGGCUGCUGUGGAGCUGCCUGCUGAACGCAAAAUUUAGACUGUGUAACAGUGCCACCAGGUGAUAGCAUGGAUAUAGGAUUUACUGCCAGCAUAAUUCUGCUAAGCAACUAUUUGCAGACUGACUAUACUGUAAAGCAUAACACAUAAAGCAUAAAUAAAAUGCAUAAAGCAUAAAGAAUUUCUUCACUAAGCAGGUGUAUAUAGAUCUUUGGACAAAAUUAGCUUAUAUUUGCUAUAAGAUCCAUGGUAGAGGGAGUGCAUAUGUAUGGGGAUUUUAUUGUUUUUUAUUUGUUUGGUUUUGUUUUGGUGGGGGUGAGAAUAUUUUGAUUUGCUUUGGACUAUUUUUGCAAUUUUUGUAGGUUUUGGGGAAGCACCUUAAGGUUAUGGCAGAAGGAGCAAUCUCUCUGAGCUUGUUUACUUCUUGUAUAUUAUAAAUGAAAAAAUAAUCAGGACAGUAUUCUGAUGAAUAUUGGUCUAAUGUUAUUUAUGUGAACCCCCAAGGCAUAUGGGAUAAAUAUAUUAAUUGUUACUGAUGCCAGUUUGAAUCCAGCUUAUUUAGUAUUAAGUAAUGUUAUUCGGAAGCACUUUAAAUUUAUAUGUGAAAUCGGCGAUGAUCCUGCUGGAGAGAAUUCUAUAAAAAAGCUUCUCAGAAUGUGAUCCCAUCCUAGUGGAAAAAGCCGUAUUAAUAAAAGAAGAUAUUUGCAUCUCUGAGGAGUUCUGCUAACAUUCAAGACCUAUUAGUAUAAUGGGAAAGUUGCUGUCAUGCAGCCUACUGUCAUAAACAGAAAAUUAAAUAAACAGGAGUCCCUAACAAGACAGAAUAUUCAGGAAACACUGAUAAAGGUAAUACAGAAUGAUUAACAAUUUAAAACCUUUUCCUCUUUCACUAUAUUCAUGUUUGUUGAUUAAAAACUGGGUCUUCCAUUAAAGUGUAAUUGGAAUUCAUUGCUUGAAGCCGCCUGCCCCAGAUGCAUGUCCUAGUCAAGGAAAUGCUGUGAGCUGCUGAGUUGCAACCAAUGUGUUUUCCAUUUAAUGCUUGUACUCCCUCUGCCAGAGCUUGUGCUCUGCUAGGGUGUAAGGGUGUAAAGAAGCAGAGUAAAACUGCUCCCACUCUUCGUAGUUACUUUUCCUGUUCAAGAGAGGGAGGGAAGAAAUUUUAUUUUAUUUUUUGACUACCUUUAAAUUCACAGUAAAGAACUGAUGUAAGAUUUCACUUAGUUUAAUCUUCUAUAAACUGUAUAAUUCCUGCUGUAUACGAGGCUCCUUACUUGUCAUUGUAUUUCCUGUGAAUUUUGGAGCAGAUCUUUCUUCAGCUGAAAACUUGAUUGUUUAAGGAUUGUAUUCACAAUAAAUUUUGAGAAAUCUUCCUUGUCUCA